UGCAGUCGACGGGGAUCCAUCAAGCUUGCUUGGUGGUGAGAGUGGCGACGGGUGAGUAAUGCGUGACCGACCUGCCCCAUACACCGGAAUAGCUCCUGGAAACGGGUGGUAAUGCCGGAUGCUCCGACUCCUCGCAUGGGGUGUCGGGAAAGAUUAUAUCGGUAUGGGAUGGGGUCGCGUCCUAUCAGGUAGUCGGCGGGGUAACGGCCCACCGAGCCUACGACGGGUAGCCGGCCUGAGAGGGCGACCGGCCACAUUGGGACUGAGAUACGGCCCAGACUCCUACGGGAGGCAGCAGUAGGA
rnacentral:rRNA from 1 species